GAUGAAGAACGCAGUGAAAUGCGAUACUUGGUGUGAAUUGCAGAAUCCCGUGAACCAUCGAGUCUUUGAACGCAAGUUGCGCCCGAAGCCAUUAGGCCGAGGGCACGCCUGCCUGGGCGUCACACGUCGUUGCCCCCCCAUCUACUCCUUCGGGAUUGCGGGGGGCGGAUGAUGGCCUCCCGUGCGCCUCGUCGCGCGGUUGGCAUAAAUGCCAAGUCCUCGGCGACGCACGCCACGACAAUCGGUGGUUGCGAAACCUCGGUUGCCCGUCGUGUGCGGUCGUCGCGCAUCGAGGGCUCGAAAAAAUUGUCGGGCUCCGGCUCGGCUUUCAACGCGACCCCAGGUCAGGCGGGGUUACCCGCUGAAUUUAAGCAUAUCAAUAAGCGGAGA
rnacentral:misc_RNA from 1 species